UAAUAAAGCUGUUUUUAUUCAAAGACAGCAGGUGCAUUUUGCAUAAAGGGGAAUCCCACCUGCCGAGGAUAAAGCAAAUACGUUUGUUUAUACAAUUUGUAUAAAAUGUAAAUUUGCCUUCUCCGCGGUUAACGUGGAGAAGGCUUUUUGUAUAAUGCG
rnacentral:sRNA from 1 species